rnacentral:rRNA from 1 species
UACGGAGGGUGCAAGCGUUAUCCGGAUUUACUGGGUUUAAAGGGUGCGCAGGCGGAUAUGUAAGUCAGUGGUGAAAUCUCCAGGCUUAACCUGGAAAUUGCCGUUGAUACUAUAUAUCUUGAAUGUUGUGGAGGUAAGCAGAAUAUGUCAUGUAGCGGUGAAAUGCUUAGAUAUGACAUAGAAUACCUAUUGCGAAGGCAGCUUACUACGCAGAUAUUGACGCUCAUGCACGAAAGCGUGGGGAUCAAACAGG